GGACCAUCCUCCAAGGCUAAAUACUCCUGACUGACCGAUAGUGAACCAGUACCGUGAGGGAAAGGCGAAAAGAACCCCGGCGAGGGGAGUGAAAAAGAACCUGAAACCGUGUACGUACAAGCAGUGGGAGCACGCUUAGGCGUGUGACUGCGUACCUUUUGUAUAAUGGGUCAGCGACUUAUAUUCUGUAGCAAGGUUAACCGAAUAGGGGAGCCGAAGGGAAACCGAGUCUUAACUGGGCGUUAAGUUGCAGGGUAUAGACCCGAAACCCGGUGAUCUAGCCAUGGGCAGGUUGAAGGUUGGGUAACACUAACUGGAGGACCGAACCGACUAAUGUUGAAAAAUUAGCGGAUGACUUGUGGCUGGGGGUGAAAGGCCAAUCAAACCGGGAGAUAGCUGGUUCUCCCCGAAAGCUAUUUAGGUAGCGCCUCGUGAAUUCAUCUCCGGGGGUAGAGCACUGUUUCGGCAAGGGGGUCAUCCCGACUUACCAACCCGAUGCAAACUGCGAAUACCGGAGAAUGUUAUUACGGGAGACACACGGCGGGUGCUAACGUCCGUCGUGAAGAGGGAAACAACCCAGACCGCCAGCUAAGGUCCCAAAGUCAUGGUUAAGUGGGAAACGAUGUGGGAAGGCCCAGACAGCCAGGAUGUUGGCUUAGAAGCAGCCAUCAUUUAAAGAAAGCGUAAUAGCUCACUGGUCGAGUCGGCCUGCGCGGAAGAUGUAACGGGGCUAAACCAUGCACCGAAGCUGCGGCAGCGACGCUUAUGCGUUGUUGGGUAGGGGAGCGUUCUGUAAGCCUGUGAAGGUGUGCUGUGAGGUAUGCUGGAGGUAUCAGAAGUGCGAAUGCUGACAUAAGUAACGAUAAAGCGGGUGAAAAGCCCGCUCGCCGGAAGACCAAGGGUUCCUGUCCAACGUUAAUCGGGGCAGGGUGAGUCGACCCCUAAGGCGAGGCCGAAAGGCGUAGUCGAUGGGAAACAGGUUAAUAUUCCUGUACUUGGUGUUACUGCGAAGGGGGGACGGAGAAGGCUAUGUUGGCCGGGCGACGGUUGUCCCGGUUUAAGCGUGUAGGCUGGUUUUCCAGGCAAAUCCGGAAAAUCAAGGCCGAGGCGUGAUGACGAGGCACUACGGUGCUGAAGCAACAAAUGCCCUGCUUCCAGGAAAAGCCUCUAAGCAUCAGGUAACAUCAAAUCGUACCCCAAACCGACACAGGUGGUCAGGUAGAGAAUACCAAGGCGCUUGAGAGAACUCGGGUGAAGGAACUAGGCAAAAUGGUGCCGUAACUUCGGGAGAAGGCACGCUGAUACGUAGGUGAAGCGACUUGCUCGUGGAGCUGAAAUCAGUCGAAGAUACCAGCUGGCUGCAACUGUUUAUUAAAAACACAGCACUGUGCAAACACGAAAGUGGACGUAUACGGUGUGACGCCUGCCCGGUGCCGGAAGGUUAAUUGAUGGGGUUAGCGCAAGCGAAGCUCUUGAUCGAAGCCCCGGUAAACGGCGGCCGUAACUAUAACGGUCCUAAGGUAGCGAAAUUCCUUGUCGGGUAAGUUCCGACCUGCACGAAUGGCGUAAUGAUGGCCAGGCUGUCUCCACCCGAGACUCAGUGAAAUUGAACUCGCUGUGAAGAUGCAGUGUACCCGCGGCAAGACGGAAAGACCCCGUGAACCUUUACUAUAGCUUGACACUGAACAUUGAGCCUUGAUGUGUAGGAUAGGUGGGAGGCUUUGAAGUGUGGACGCCAGUCUGCAUGGAGCCGACCUUGAAAUACCACCCUUUAAUGUUUGAUGUUCUAACGUGGACCCGUGAUCCGGGUUGCGGACAGUGUCUGGUGGGUAGUUUGACUGGGGCGGUCUCCUCCUAAAGAGUAACGGAGGAGCACGAAGGUUGGCUAAUCCUGGUCGGACAUCAGGAGGUUAGUGCAAUGGCAUAAGCCAGCUUGACUGCGAGCGUGACGGCGCGAGCAGGUGCGAAAGCAGGUCAUAGUGAUCCGGUGGUUCUGAAUGGAAGGGCCAUCGCUCAACGGAUAAAAGGUACUCCGGGGAUAACAGGCUGAUACCGCCCAAGAGUUCAUAUCGACGGCGGUGUUUGGCACCUCGAUGUCGGCUCAUCACAUCCUGGGGCUGAAGUAGGUCCCAAGGGUAUGGCUGUUCGCCAUUUAAAGUGGUACGCGAGCUGGGUUUAGAACGUCGUGAGACAGUUCGGUCCCUAUCUGCCGUGGGCGCUGGAGAACUGAGGGGGGCUGCUCCUAGUACGAGAGGACCGGAGUGGACGCAUCACUGGUGUUCGGGUUGUCAUGCCAAUGGCACUGCCCGGUAGCUAAAUGCGGAAGAGAUAAGUGCUGAAAGCAUCUAAGCACGAAACUUGCCCCGAGAUGAGUUCUCCCUGACCCUUUAAGGGUCCUGAAGGAACGUUGAAGACGACGACGUUGAUAGGCCGGGUGUGUAAGCGCAGCGAUGCGUUGAGCUAACCGGUACUAAUGAACCGUGAGGCUUAACCUUACAACGCCGAAG
rnacentral:rRNA from 1 species